GACGAACGCUGGCGGCGUGCUUAACACAUGCAAGUCGAACGGAAAGGCCCUGCUUUUGUGGGGUGCUCGAGUGGCGAACGGGUGAGUAACACGUGAGUCACCUGCCCUUGACUUUGGGAUAACUUCAGGAAACUGGGGCUAAUACCGGAUAGGAGCUCCUGCUGCAUGGUGGGGGUUGGAAAGUUUCGGCGGUUGGGGAUGGACUCGCGGCUUAUCAGCUUGUUGGUGGGGUAGUGGCUUACCAAGGCUUUGACGGGUAGCCGGCCUGAGAGGGUGACCGGCCACAUUGGGACUGAGAUACGGCCCAGACUCCUACGGGAGGCAGCAGUAGGGAAUAUUGCACAAUGGGCGGAAGCCUGAUGCAGCAACGCCGCGUGCGGGAUGACGGCCUUCGGGUUGUAAACCGCUUUCGCCUGUGACGAAGCGUGAGUGACGGUAAUGGGUAAAGAAGCACCGGCUAACUACGUG
rnacentral:rRNA from 1 species